AGCUAGCUCAGUCAGUAGAGCAUGAGACUCUUAAUCUCAGAGUCCUGGGUUCGUGACCCACGAAGCUA
rnacentral:tRNA from 1 species